UUGCAGGACAAAACGCAUUGCGUUUUGAACAGCGCUUGCGCUGGCCCCAAAGGGGUGAGGCCAAAAGGCCGAAUCACGCGGCAAG
rnacentral:ncRNA from 1 species